rnacentral:lncRNA from 1 species
UCCCACUAAAACAAUAGGAAUCGGCGGCGGCUAGGGUUCCGGUGUUGAGACGAGAGAUGGAGACCUGGACGGCGACGAUCGAUUGAUUCGGCGGUGGCUAGGGUUCCGGCGUUGAGACGAGGGGUGGCGACGGCAAGGCGGAGGCACGUCGACCGGAGGGCGGAGGCGCGUCGACCGGAGGGCGGCAGCGGAACGGAAUCCACGAGAAGCGCAGUCGUCGGAGAAGAAGCCAAAGGGGAGGGGUUCUCGAAAACACGUCUGUUUAGUGUUUAGUGUUUGUGUUUGGUGACUUGUUUGG